rnacentral:rRNA from 1 species
AUUGAACGCUGGCGGCAGGCCUAACACAUGCAAGUCGAACGAGUGGCGGACGGGUGAGUAAUGUCUGGGAAACUGCCUGAUGGAGGGGGAUAACUACUGGAAACGGUAGCUAAUACCGCAUACCAUCAGAUGUGCCCAGAUUGGAUGAGAUUGUUGGUGGGGUAACGGCUCACAAAGGCGACGAUCCCUAGCUGGUCUGUGAGGAUGACCAUCCACACUGGAACUGAGACACGUUCCAGACUCCGACGGGAGGCAGCAGUGGAGAAUAUUGCCCAAUGGGCGCAAGCCUGAUGCAGCCAUGCAGCGUGUAUGAAGAAGGCCUUCGGGUUGUAAAGUACUUUCAGCGGGGAGGCGUUACCCGCAGAAGAAGCACCGGCUAACUCCGAGCCAGCAGCCGCGGUAAUUC